rnacentral:rRNA from 1 species
ACAAGGUUCCCUUCCGCCGCUCAGCACGGAGACCUUGCAACUCUUAGGGGAGGCAGCACGACAGUAAACAAAGCUUGCCGUUUGCAAGUCGGCCAAUCGGUCGGCAACACAAUCGAAUUGACGGGGACCUCCUAAAGCCUGUAACACCAACCGUCCGGGGAAACUCGGGCGGGGCCCUCACGGGGUGGUAAGAGAGUACAGGAUGGUAACAAUGGACAAUCCGCAGCGAAGACCCUACCGGCUCCGGCCCACGGGUACCGUUCACAGACUAAGUGAUUGUGGGCGGGGCGAUCGCGCCCUGUCUAAGAUAUAGUCGGACUCUACCCGAAAGGAUAGAGGAUAGCAUGUCCGUAGGUGAACCUGCGGAAGGAUCAUUAAAGAAUGCCCCGUUUUUGAAAUGGGUUCUAUUCCCAAACCGUGUAUACAUACCUUUGUUGCUUUGGCAGGCCGCUUUCGGGCGUCGGCUCACGCUGACCGCGCCUGCCAGAGGACCCAAACUCGUUUGUUUAGUGAUGUCUGAGUACUAUAUAAUAGUUAAAACUUUCAACAACGGAUCUCUUGGUUCUGGCAUCGAUGAAGAACGCAGCGAAAUGCGAUAAGUAAUGUGAAUUGCAGAAUUCAGUGAAUCAUCGAAUCUUUGAACGCACAUUGCGCCCCUUGGUAUUCCGAGGGGCAUGCCUGUUCGAGCGUCAUUAUGACCACUCAAGCCUAGCUUGGUAUUGGGGUUCGCGGUCUCGCGGCCCUUAAAAUCAGUGGCGGUGCCAUCUGGCUCUAAGCGUAGUAAUUUAUCUCGCUAUUGGGUCCGGUGGUUGCUUGCCAACAACCCCCAACUUCUAAGGUUGACCUCGGAUCAGGUAGGGAUACCCGCUGAACUUAA